CCUACGUGAGGCUGCAGUGAGGAAUAUUGGUCAAUGGGAGAGAUCCUGAACCAGCCAAGCCGCGUGAGGGAAGACGGCCCUAUGGGUUGUAAACCUCUUUUGUCGGAGAACAAAACCCGGGACGUGUCCCGGACUGCGUGUAUCCGAAGAAAAAGCAUCGGCUAACUCCGUGCCAGCAGCCGCGGUAAUACGGAGGAUUCAAGCGUUAUCCGGAUUUAUUGGGUUUAAAGGGUGCGUAGGCGGUCGGAUAAGUUAGAGGUGAAAUCCCGAGGCUCAACUUCGGAAUUGCCUCUGAUACUGUUCGGCUAGAGAGUAGUUGCGGUAGGCGGAAUGUAUGGUGUAGCGGUGAAAUGCUUAGAGAUCAUACAGAACACCGAUUGCGAAGGCAGCUUACCAAGCUACUUCUGACGUUGAGGCACGAAAGCGUGGGGAGCAAACAGGAUUAGAUACCCUUGUAGUC
rnacentral:rRNA from 1 species